UACGGAGGAUGCGAGCGUUAUCCGGAUUUAUUGGGUUUAAAGGGUGCGCAGGCGGCACGGCAAGCCGGCGGUCAAAUCGCGGGGCUCAACCCCGCCCAGCCGUCGGAACUGCCGGGCUAGAGUGGGCGAGAAGUGCGCGGAAUGCGUGGUGUAGCGGUGAAAUGCAUAGAUAUCACGCAGAACUCCGAUUGCGAAGGCAGCGCACCAGCGCCCUACUGACGCUCAGGCACGAAAGCGUGGGUAUCGAACAGG
rnacentral:rRNA from 1 species